rnacentral:lncRNA from 1 species
UUCAAUUGCUCCUCAUUUUUCUUUGUUUUUGCACAUUCUUUAUUGAUUUAUGUUAUCUUGAUUCCUGACUUUCGUUUUUGUUUAUUACCCCCCUGGAAAAUAGGACAAGUCUUCUUUUUUCCAUUGAUCUCAGCAAAACCAACACACAAAGAAGUUACUCAGUAUGAUAGUUUUUUCCAUUCUAUGUUUCAGCUUUUCUUUUUUAACCUCUCCCAAUUAUCCCUUUCCCUUCUUUCCUAAUCAUCCACCUGUCUGGCCUUCAUAUUUUCUUAGUUUCAAUAGAAAGAUCCAAAAUUGGUGAAGCAGACUUAUUAAUCUCUGUUUUAACUAUUUUUCACAAAAUGGUGGAUGGGAUAAGUACUACAACUGCACUAUCAAAUUAGUCAGCAUUUUACAAACUUUCCAUGCUUUAAUCACUUUCAUCCCAUGUAAAUAGUUACUCGGAUUGCAAUGGUAUAGGUUAAAGUUCGCAAUUUUUACCCACAGUAGAUCAGCAACACUUCCAGCGACACAACUCUAUUUAUGUAUUUAUCUAUGUAUAACCAG